UGAAGUUGCGACGCAGCUCUGUGGCCUCUCUUCUGCAGCUCUCUGCUGAGUCCUGAGUCUGGUUCAGGCGGCGUUCAGUCUCCAACAAGUCACGCCUCAACUGGUCUCGGCUCUCCUCGGCAGCUGAGAGGGCGGCUCUGCACUGCUCCAGCUGGAGGGCGAAAAUCAACGGAGGAGCAAAUCAAACGAGCUGCUCUCGGCGAGAUUCCACCUGAACAAGCUGCUGCUGCACUUCGAACAGGCUGGUUUCCAGGGACUCGCGCUCCGACCUGCAGAUGCCGUCAGCUGAACCACGAGAGCUGCUUUGUCUCGGGCCAGUUCUGCCUGACUGCGGCCGGCCUCCUCCAAGGCCACCUCGUUCCUCUGGCCCUCUCCUCUAGCAAGACUUACCUCGGAACUCAGAGAGGUCACCUCACCACAAAGCUGUCAACAAAAGACAAAAAAUCAAAGCGCAGAGCAGACAGCGUCGCCUCCGGGAGAGGAAACAGCGAGCAGUGUCGAGUGGGGGAGGACGGCCUCCGAGGAAAAGAGUCACGGAUCAGAGGUCCCAAAUUGUCCUGAUCCGCUUCUGACGAUGACUCUCCGUCUGCUGAAAGUGUCUGUGAAUGCAGGUUAAAAUGAAGCAUCUCCAUCUGGCAUCCUACUGAAGAGUCUGCUGUUGCAAAAAUAUGUGUGUUGUUUACCUGAGCAAUGUCCCGCAGUGUGUCAAACAGUGUCUCAGUGUGAGUUCUCAUCACCUGUAUGUCAGUCUCAUCAUUGUCGCUCUGCUCCUGAAGGGAAAUGUAUGCAUGAAGCGCAUAAAGCACAGGAAACUGACCAAAAAUGAAACUAUUUUGACCUUCGUGAUUGGUGUCUCACCUCGAGCUUCCUCGUUAGUGUCACAAUUUCUCCAUCCCGCUCUUCAAUUUGGCCCUUCAGUCUCUCCACUUCUCGCACCAAAUCU